AGCAGACGCAGCCUGCCAGAGGUCCCACCCGUGUGAGCGGAGUCGAAAUCCCUCCAGGAUGCAGUCCUCACAAGCAACGUGCCGAUCCUUCUGUGUUCACAUAUUGCCAUCUAGUGUGAGCAAAAGAAGUUGCAAGCAGAUUCAUAGCCAGAGAAUGAUGUGAAGGCAAGGGACACCGUGUGGAGCAGUUCCACCACCAAAGAGAAGCAGAUUUGGCCGCAUGAGCUGCCUGGGUGGGAGACCACCUGGAAAUCAUGUGUAAGCUGCUCGAGAUACUUUGAGAAAGAAUAGGGGUAGAAAUAUAUCGUAAAUAAUGGGCCCAUUUUUUUGCCCAAUCCUCCCAAGUCACCUUGUUUUCACAAAUCCCCCUUGAUUUUAUGUAUCUCUCUUUUUAGGUGCCAGACCAGCAUUAACAGAGUUUUCUGAUGCUGAGCUCUUCUAAGCACUUCUUUUCCUUGCAUUAGGGCCCCUUUUAAAUCUUGACUUUCAGAGGUGCUGCGCAGUCAGGCAGUGUAUGUUUUGGACCAGAAUCUGACCACCACAGAAACUCUAAAAGAAAUGAGCACAUUCACAAUUAAAAUAUGUCUCAGAAUAGUUCAAGCUGGGCUUCCCUAACCCAUUGUACAGAUGCAUUUGGCGACUUCCACGCUGUGCAGUUAAAUCACUCUGAUGCCACUACAAAACUCCUGACUUUCAUCUUCUUUUAGAUGGCAGGAACCACUUGUGUUUCUAUUGCUACCUACGUCUCAACAAAACGAAAACCAGCCAUUCUGGCUUUUCACUGGAAUAGUGAACAGAAUUUACUGCUGGAGUGGCAGGACAACCAACUCGCUAUAUUUUUAAUCCGUUGCCUCUGGAAGUGAUGCUUGGUUAUUGGCUUAUACAUUGGCUUAUGUCAUAAAACUCCAGACAUUGCAGAAAAGUUUGCACCAUGAAUGCAGAACAUGUAGAGUUUUAGACAGUAGCAACACAACCCUCUGCACGUCUACUCAGAAGUAAGUCCUGUUGAGUUCAAUCCGACUGAUUCACAGGUAAGCAUAUAUAUAUAGGACUAUUGCUUUAAUUGGACAAGAUAUGCUCACCAGAGACAUUGUGGCCUUUGUCUUGGUAGCAUUGCUGGAGCUAUAGGUUUCUUCAUUUGGUGUUGGCCUUAAAGCAGGGGUGGUAGGGAACCUUUUUCAGCCACAUUCUGGUCUGGGAAAACUUUCGGGGGCCACAUGCUGGUGAGAGGCAGGACAAAGCAAGGAAUGCAAUAUGUGGCUUUGUACAGUAGGCUACACUCUCAUCCCCCUCCACCCAGGCAAGCCAGAGGGAUUAUCCGGAGUUCAUGGAAACAACCCAGGCAAAAACACUCAAGGAGGAUAUAAAGUAGGGCUGGUGAGGGGUGUGGCUUAAGAGAGGGGUGUGGUUUAAGAGGGGUGUGGCCUGGGGAGAGCCCUGAAGGACCUCAUGUGACAUCUGGGCCAAAGGUUCCCCACCCCAGUUUUAAAGCCUAUCAGCAUAAUCCCUGGAAAGUGGGAGCGAUCAGCACAAGUGCCGUGAUCAAUAAGCAGUAUAUUUGUGCAGAUGCAUACAAAGUGGAACAUGGUGCGUAUCACCCAUUUCCUCCUCUUUAAGGCCACUACUGUAAGUGGAUGAAGCUAUGAACAGGUAGGGUGGACAUGGCCACAUAUUAAAGAGGCAAAACUGGCUAAUGAUACUCUACUGUACUUUGUUGAUGCCAGGACAGAGCAGACCUCAGGUGUCAUAAGCCACCAGAUGCUUUCUCUUAAUGAUAUACCACUCCUAUUUAAUACAGUCCCUGAAGACACCUCUAACAGCAUGAGGAGUAUUAUGCAUUAGGCCAAACACAAGGCUGCUACUCUCAGGAACCUUCCAAUUCAAAUUAGGCAGAUAAUCUAAUGAGACCUUACACAACAUCAUCAUAAAAGAGUGUGAGAGACAGAAGGGGGAAUAUAACACAAAAUGAGAAAUGGGCUCUUGGGGAAACAUGAAUUACAGGGAACAGAGGCUGCGUAAUUAGGCGCCUUGCAUUCUUGGGUGAGAGAAAGAGCAGGAUUCUACUCAGAGCCACAGCACACCCUGUGAAAUGCAUGAGGAAAGGAGGUGAGGGAGGGAGGCUCAGGUCUAGGAAACAGGGCUGUUGUAGAGCCAGGGUGAUGUAGGGUUUCGAGUGUGAGACUGGUUCAAGUACCCAUUUGGCCAUGAAGCUUCUUGGGUGAUCUUGAGCCAACUACCAACGUUCAGCCUAACCUAACGUUCCUAACAAGGUUGUUGUGAGGAAAAUAUAGAGAGGGAGAGAAUUCUGCAUUCCACCUUGAGCUUCCUGGAAGAAAGGUGAAAUACAAAUGUAAUAAAUACAGUGCUUUUUUCUGGGAGGAAGAAGGGGUAUGCAUACCCUUAAACAUUUUGUGCAUCUAAUGGGAGAAGAAACUAAAUAAUAAUAAUAAUAAUUUUCUAGCACAGUGAAUCGUCAGUCCCAAGGGCGGCUUCAUUUCCUUUCCCAGUUCUGAGACUCAGACAGAAGCGAACAUUUAACAUGUGAAGCAGUGUGGAAUGUGGAUGUGUGGUGUUUUACUGAUGAAAGUUUGGCCUCAUUGAGGUGUUUCCUGUUGGCAAAGGGAGAAGGCCAAGUACUUGUACGUUGUAUUAGAUUUCCAGAGACUGCUUCUAGAACCAGAAAAAAAAGGACAUAGCAGCAUUGUCUCAGAUGCAUAAGUGCCAACAUCUCAUUUGCAUAAAACAAAAGUGAGUUACAUCAAAUGUUUGCCAAACUAUAAAUCAUCUUCUUCAUUCCAACCUGCUCUGCUUCUUGCAAAAACCUUCUGCCCCAUAAAUAAUAUGCUCGUCAACCUGCUAGUCAGAUAAAUAUUUCAGAAGCUGGGAGCAUGGUCACACUUUCCCUGCUUUGCUUUGGAGUAGCGGGAUGUUUGGAUUAGGAAUUAUGAAGAAAACUAGAGAAAGGGCCAAGAUGGAAGCCCUAUUCACAUUGGGCGAAGGGAGCACCAGAUAAUUAACCACAGAAGGGAUUCCACUGCCAGCUGAGUUUGGACAAUUUCAGUUUGUCUCAGUUUCUAAUCUAUCCAGUCUUAAAUUCAGUUUGCCAUAUUUCUGCAUCAAUUUGCAAUAAUAAUAAAAAAAAUCAUCAUGAAAAUUCAUCAGCAUCUUAGUGUGCAGUUUUCCUAAAUGAAACAUUUUUACAUGCCACUUUACCUAAAAAAACCCACAUAUUUUUGCAAGCAGCAUCCC